UACGAAGGGUGCAAGCGUUACUCGGAAUUACUGGGCGUAAAGCGUGCGUAGGUGGUUUGUUAAGUCUGCUGUGAAAGCCCCGGGCUCAACCUGGGAAUGGCGAUGGAUACUGGCAAGCUAGAGUGCGGUAGAGGGUAGUGGAAUUCCCGGUGUAGCGGUGAAAUGCGUAGAGAUCGGGAGGAACACCAGUGGCGAAGGCGGCUACCUGGACCAGCACUGACACUGAGGCACGAAAGCGUGGGGAGCAAACAGG
rnacentral:rRNA from 1 species